GCGACCGUCGUUCAGCGGUCAGGACACGCGGCUGUGGCCCGCGAAACGCCGGUUCAACUCCGGCCGGUCGCCCCA
rnacentral:tRNA from 1 species